rnacentral:rRNA from 1 species
UACGAAGGGGGCUAGCGUUGUUCGGAAUUACUGGGCGUAAAGCGCGCGCAGGCGGCUCUUCAAGUCAGGGGUGAAAGCCCAGAGCUCAACUCUGGAACUGCCUUUGAGACUGAAGAUCUUGAGUCCGGGAGAGGUGAGUGGAACUGCGAGUGUAGAGGUGAAAUUCGUAGAUAUUCGCAAGAACACCAGUGGCGAAGGCGGCUCACUGGCCCGGUACUGACGCUGAGGCACGAAAGCGUGGGGAGCAAACAGG